rnacentral:rRNA from 1 species
GACAGAGGGUGCAAACGUUGCUCGGAAUCACUGGGCGUAAAGGGCGUGUAGGCGGGUAGGCAAGUCGGGCGUGAAAUCCCUGAGCUCAACUCAGGAACUGCACUCGAAACUGACGAGCUAGAGUAUGGUAGAGGGUGGUGGAAUUUCCUGUGUAGCGGUGAAAUGCGUAGAUAUCGGAAGGAACACCAGUGGCGAAGGCGGUCUGCUGGGCAGUUGCUGACACUGAGGCGCGACAGCGUGGGGGAGCAAACAGG